rnacentral:rRNA from 1 species
CCUUAGAUGUUCUGGGCCGCACGCGCGCUACACUGACAGGGCCAACGAGUAUAAACCUUGGCCGAGAGGUCUGGGUAAUCUUGUUAAACCCUGUCGUGCUGGGGAUAGAGCAUUGCAAUUAUUGCUCUUCAACGAGGAAUAUCUAGUAAGCGCAAGUCAUCAGCUUGCGUUGAUUACGUCCCUGCCCUUUGUACACACCGCCCGUCGCUACUACCGAUUGAAUGGCUCAGUGAGGCCUUCGGACUGGCUCAGGGAGGUCGGCAACGACCACCCAGAGCCGGAAAGUUGGUCAAACUUGGUCAUUUAGAGGAAGUAAAAGUCGUAACAAGGUUUCCGUAGGUGAACCUGCGGAAGGAUCAUUACCAAAUGUCCUUUGACAAAGCUUUGCGCCGGGUGCAAACCCGACCGGAGUGCCAACCCUUUGUGAACCAAAACAACAUCCGCUUCGGCAGCGGGCCGGCCGGGAAACCGACCGAGCCGUCAGCCUGCCGGCAGCACCCAAUUCAAAACCUGAACGAACCAAACGUCUGAAACCAUUCUGUAUCUGAAUGAAAAUUAAAACUUUCAACAACGGAUCUCUUGGUUCUCGCAUCGAUGAAGAACGCAGCGAAACGCGAUAGUUAAUGUGAAUUGCAGAAUUCAGUGAAUCAUCGAGUAUUUGAACGCACAUUGCGCCCAUUGGUAUUCCGAUGGGCACGUCUGUUUGAGCGUCAUCGCAACCCUUCGGCUCCCCUGGCUUGCCAGGAUCGCCGGUGUUGGGCUCCGCCUCGGUGCGCCUUUGCGCGCGCCGGCUGGCCUUAAAGUUGCACGCUCUGCGGGCCCCUCGGGCCAGCAAAACAUAGUAUGACCUGCUAGCUGUUUUGGCCUGGUGCCGGGUUGGGUUUUCCGCCUGAACAAACAUCUCUGAAGUUUGACCUCAGAUCAGACGAGGAUACCCGCUGAACUUAAGCAUAUCAAUAAGCGGAGGAAAAGAAACCAACAGGGAUUGCCUCAGUAACGGCGAGUGAAGCGGCAACAGCUCAAAUUUGAAAUCUGGCUCAGUCAUGCGCCCGAGUUGUAAUUUGAAGAGGAUGCCUCGGUAGCAGUCCCGGCCUAAGUUCCUUGGAACAGGACGUCGCAGAGGGUGAGAAUCCCGUACGCGGCUGAGGGCUUGCUUCCAUGUGUGGCUCCUUCGAAGAGUCGAGUUGUUUGGGAAUGCAGCUCAAAAUGGGUGGUAAAUUUCAUCUAAAGCUAAAUACUGGCGAGAGACCGAUAGCGCACAAGUAGAGUGAUCGAAAGAUGAAAAGCACUUUGAAAAGAGAGUUAAAUAGUACGUGAAAUUGUUGAAAGGGAAGCGCUUGCAAUCAGACUCACCUGCGGUUGAUCAACGUUCCUUCUGGUGCGUGCACUCUGCCGUUUGUGGGCCAGCAUCGGUCGGUGCGGCGGGACAAAGGCGUCGGGAAUGUGGCACCCCUCGGGGUGUGUUAUAGCCCGGCGUGUAAUGCCGCCUGCUGCCGACCGAGGUCCGCGGUUCGCCUAGGAUGCUGGCUUAAUGGUUGUAAGCGAC